CGGCCUGGGGAGCAGGGCUUAGCUGCUGGUGAACAGGGUGUCACCGAGUCUUGUUCACAGUGGCUAAGUUCCGCCCCCCUC
rnacentral:pre_miRNA from 12 species